rnacentral:rRNA from 1 species
AGCUCAAAUUUGAAAUCUGGCGCAAGCCCGAGUUGUAAUUUGCAGAGGAUGUUUCGGGUGAAGCCACGGUCCAAGUCCCUUGGAACAGGACGUCAUAGAGGGUGAGAACCCCGUACCUGGCCGUCGGUGCCCCCCGCUGUGAAACUCCUUCGACGAGUCGAGUUGUUUGGGAAUGCAGCUCUAAAUUGGUGGUAAAUUCCAUCUAAAGCUAAAUACCGGCCAGAGACCGAUAGCGCACAAGUAGAGUGAUCGAAAGAUGAAAAGCACUUUGAAAAGAGAGUUAAAAAGUACGUGAAAUUGUUGAAAGGGAAGCGCUUGCGGCCAGACUUGCCCGCGGUUGCUCAGCCCGCCCUUUGGCGGGUGCACUCUUCCGCGGUCAGGCCAGCAUCGGUUUGGGCGGCCGGAUAAAGGCGUUGGGAACGUAGCCUCCCCUCGGGGAGGUGUUAUAGCCCGGCGCGCAAUGCGACCAGCCCGGACCGAGGUUCGCGCUCUGCUAGGAUGCUGGCGUAAUGGCCGUAAGCGGCCCGUCUUGAAACACGGACCAAGGAGUCUAACAUCUAUGCGAGUGUUUGGGUGUCAAACCCGUGCGCGUAAUGAAAGUGAACGGAGGUGGGAACCGCAAGGUGCACCAUCGACCGAUCCUGAUGUCUUCGGAAGGAUUUGAGUAAGAGCAUAGCUGUUGGGACCCGAAAGAUGGUGAACAAUC